rnacentral:lncRNA from 1 species
AAAAUGGCUGGCGGCCUAAAAUGUUAAGAAAGCUAUAUUUCGUCUUCCUUUUUCCAGGGAUCCCUAACCCUCUCUGUCUACAGAAGGUCAUCCUUGGCCUGUUUCUUGUCUCAGAGCUUGAGAAAACACCUUUGAAGAAGUCUUCAGCUCAUCACAUACCUGUAACUUACCGCCAAAACAACCCAAGAGACUGUCUUCUGAUCUUAGGAGAAAAGAAGAAGUGGGGACCUCUUUGCUGAGAACAAUCCCAAGCCAGAAAUUCCACUAAGCCCACAACCCCAGGUUCACAGACAGAUAUUACCUACAUUUGUGAAUCACAGCUCUUGCGUGGCUCAGCAGAGACACAAAUGAAAAAAAUCUGGUGAGAUUUUUGAAGAGACAGACGGGAUGACUGUUUGCUUAGGAGAAAAGCUUGAGGAGCUUCUUUAGCCAGAAACUGCCAUAUAGAGUCUUUAGGUUAAGAAACCUCUUGAAUUGUUCCAGAUUCUUGGAGAUGAUGACUUCGAACCCACAAACGAGGUGAUGUGGUUUGGAGUGUUGCGGUUUGGGAACUACGGCUAGGAAAGAAUUCUUGAGAAGUCCUUAGUGUGAAAAGGUGGUUUUAUUAGAACAUGGGAACAGGACCUGUGGACAGAAAGAGCUGCACUGGGGCUGUGAGGGGUGGCUGAUUGUAUGCUUUGGAGCUGAGGGACAGAAGGACAAAGGGAGGUUUCCAAAAGGACUUUUAUAUGCUAAGAAAGACUCGCAGGAUCCCGGAGGCCUGACUGUUAUCAAGCUAAAGUUGCUUUUCCCUCUAGCAAGGCAUUAAUAUUAAGACGGCAGGGAGUUUCCUGGAGGAACUACACUCCCUCUGCCUCAAGUAUUUGUCAAUGGGCUGCAGGUUAUAAGGAUAUUUCAUUUUAUCUACAUUUCCUUCUGCCUUUGUUCCUCACAUUGGAGGGAAUCUGCUGGCAUUUAUUGUUUA